rnacentral:sRNA from 1 species
UCUGGGUGUGGUGGUGCACACUUGUAAUCCCAGAAACUUGGGAGGGUGAGGCAAGAGGAUUUUAAGUUUGAGGCUAGCCUGGGUAACUGAGCAGAGACCUUGUCUCAA